UAACCAUCCGGUCUUAAACUUCCCUGCCGUCAGGUACUGUGCGGCUUGUCUCCACGGGGAGUUUCAAGGCAAGAUGCCAUCUCUUACCAAGUGCGGUGCCUGCGGAAAGAACCCCAGGUCAAAGCCCAACGCAGAACGGGGCAGCUGGGCGGGCACCAAGGUCCCGCUGAGAUCAGCGGACACGACUGGCAACUGACACUAACCUCUACGGUUGGCAACGGACACUAACCAACCAACGAACAAGGGGCGGCAACCUGCUAGUAAAGCCUCAGAUGAAUAGAAAUCAGACCAAGCCGACGUCCUCCAUGGCGAAAUUGGAGUGCCAAAGUAGCCUGGGUGAAAUAAUAGCGCGCCAUUAGCAUGGAUCUGUCCAUGGUAUGUGCGCUAUACUUCGUUUGCGCGUACCAGGGGCGCGUACAUAGCCUGGCGCGUACAUACAUAGCCGUGCUUUAUAACUGUGCAUGCUUGUACAUAUUCUGAUGGGUAUAAUGCGUUUAUAACUUAUGUGCUCAUCCGUGUCAAUAACUUGCUUGGAGCCGACGUUGAACUGGAAUGGGCCCUGUCCUGUUUGCCUACCGUAUAGUUGGGGGAGUGUUGAAGGGUGUUCUUUAUGAAUAUCAGCACGACGUGGCAAGGCGUCUGCUGAACCCUAGAACUUUGGCAGUUGACUAAUUGUCAACAACGAGGCCGAUUUGUGCUAAACGCGUUGAUAACGCUAAGAGGGUGUUUCCAACCAGCCGGGGUUCACAAGUUUCUCCCAGGCGCACGCACCUUUCCCGGUGAAAAGCAUGAACUUAAAUUGCACAUGUAAAUGUAUGUUAUAAUUACUGCAGAA
rnacentral:lncRNA from 1 species